GGCGCUGUGGCGGAGUGGUCUAUCGCGCUAGACUUGAAUUCGUUCAUAAUAUCUAGUUCCUUCGGGAGCAUCGGUUCGAACCCGAUCGGCGUCG